rnacentral:tRNA from 1 species
AAUAAGAUGCCUGAAAAAAAGGGUUACCUUGAUAGGGUAAAUUAUGUGGAAAACCACUCUUAUUA